UACGGGGGGGGCAAGCGUUGUUCGGAAUUACUGGGCGUAAAGGGCUCGUAGGCGGCCAACUAAGUCAUACGUGAAAUCCCCCGGCUUAACCGGGGAACUGCGUCUGAUACUGGAUGGCUUGAGUUCGGGAGAGGGAUGCGGAAUUCCAGGUGUAGCGGUGAAAUGCGUAGAUAUCUGGAGGAACACCGGUGGCGAAGGCGGCAUCCUGGACCGAUACUGACGCUGAGGAGCGAAAGCCAGGGGAGCAAAACGGGAA
rnacentral:rRNA from 1 species